CAGGACGAACGCUGGCGGCGUGCCUAAUACAUGCAAGUCGAACGCACUGACGUCGACAGAAGGUGCUUGCACUGGAAGUUGAUUGACGUGAGUGGCGGACGGGUGAGUAACACGUGGGUAACCUGCCCUUAAGCGGGGGAUAACAUUUGGAAACAGAUGCUAAUACCGCAUAAAAGUUGAGAUCACAUGGUCUUAAUUUGAAAGACGGCCUUUGGCUGUCACUUAAGGAUGGACCCGCGGCGUAUUAGCUAGUUGGUGAGAUAAUAGCCCACCAAGGCGAUGAUACGUAGCCGACCUGAGAGGGUAAUCGGCCACAUUGGGACUGAGACACGGCCCAAACUCCUACGGGAGGCAGCAGUAGGGAAUCUUCCACAAUGGACGAAAGUCUGAUGGAGCAACGCCGCGUGAGUGAAGAAGGUUUUCGGAUCGUAAAACUCUGUUGUUGGAGAAGAACAGGGACUAGAGUAACUGUUAGUCCUUUGACGGUAUCCAACCAGAAAGCCACGGCUAACUACGUGCCAGCAGCCGCGGUAAUACGUAGGUGGCAAGCGUUGUCCGGAUUUAUUGGGCGUAAAGCGAGCGCAGGCGGUUUCUUAAGUCUGAUGUGAAAGCCUUCGGCUUAACCGAAGAAGUGCAUCAGAUACUGGGAAACUUGAGUGCAGAAGAGGAAAGUGGAACUCCAUGUGUAGCGGUGAAAUGCGUAGAUAUAUGGAAGAACACCAGUGGCGAAGGCGGCUUUCUGGUCUGUAACUGACGCUGAGGCUCGAAAGUAUGGGGAGCGAACAGGAUUAGAUACCCUGGUAGUCCAUACCGUAAACGAUGAAUGCUGAGUGUUGGAGGGUUUCCGCCCUUCAGUGCUGCAGCUAACGCAUUAAGCAUUCCGCCUGGGGAGUACGACCGCAAGGUUGAAACUCAAAGGAAUUGACGGGGGCCCGCACAAGCGGUGGAGCAUGUGGUUUAAUUCGAAGCUACGCGAAGAACCUUACCAGGUCUUGACAUCUAGCGCCAAUCCUAGAGAUAGGACGUUCCCUUCGGGGACGCUAAGACAGGUGGUGCAUGGUUGUCGUCAGCUCGUGUCGUGAGAUGUUGGGUUAAGUCCCGCAACGAGCGCAACCCUUAUGAUUAGUUGCCAGCAUUUAGUUGGGCACUCUAAUCAGACUGCCGGUGACAAAC
rnacentral:rRNA from 1 species